rnacentral:lncRNA from 1 species
ACGGACACAUCGGGAGCACGGGCGACUGGGCUCCCCGGGCCACCCCUAGACGUCGCGCGCCCCGAUCCCCACCCCCAACAGUUUACCUGUUGGUCCCUAGCUAGCGGCUAGGCAGGGGCGGGCAGCCGGGACGCCCUGGCGGCCACAGCCUCCAUCGCUCCGUUAGGGUUGGGGAAUUGGAUUUGACGUUGCGAGGUGUCUGGCUCGCCAGACUGCGGACGCCGCGAAGUUUGCGGCUGCCUGGGGGCGUCGCUCGCUGUCGCCAGCGUUCUCGCCCCCACGGCCCGGGAGCGCGAGCUCCCGAGUUGGCGGACGGCGGCGCGGCGGCCGCACUGAGCAUGCCCAGCUUGGCGGCCGGACCGCGGAGGAGUUGGCUGCGAGCGCCUCGAGCGCUCCCAUCUGCCUCUCCGGGUUUUCGCAGCCGCAGAGCGCGCAGUCCACGGGCCCUGCGCCCCAGCUGGCUGCAGGGUUAACCCGGCUGUGGAACCAGCACCAGGAGGGACCCCGGGCCUCGAGCUGCGACCUCCGCCUCGACCCCUCCUGCGGUCGCCAUCCCGGCAGCCUAGGCGAAACCUCACCUGCUCGCAUCACAGGGAUGGGAACCGCGGGGAGGGGGGCGAUCCUUUCGGGGGAUCUGGUCAAUCCACCCGCCGGCGCCCCUCGCUUGCUCCAGGUAGGCACACAGAUGCGACGCGGGGCCAAGAGCCUUGAGCACUGAGACCUAGCCUCGGAGGCGGGCCCAGCGUGUCCUAAGGGACCCUGCAGGAGGCGCGCCCAGGAGAACGCGCCAGCACUUGGCCAAGAAUGAUGGCUGCCAUUUAUCGAGUCUUCCUUUGGUUGUAUGAUCUUGAUGGUCUGAAUUUGCUUCUAACAACAAACCCUCCAAGGUUUUACUUCACCUUCUUUAUAAAUGAGGAAAUUGUGUCAGCUCGGAAAGGUCAGAUGACUUGUUCAAAGCUGCAAAAGCUAAUGGGAAUUUGAACCUACCACUGCUGGAGCUCAGGUUUCUGACCUCACCCCUCUGCUUUGAUUGGGAAGGGCUGUGUGCUUGAUCUGCCCUUGGCCUGAUUGUAUCACAUUCUCCAUAACUUGAGGAAUGUCUUGGACGCCUAGUUCCCAGCUCUGGAGAGCAUGUACACAGAAUAACCUGCAGCCUUUCCAUAGCACCUGGUACGUGGUGAUGAUAUGUGAAUGUCUACUCGCUUUGCUGCCUUUAAAGCACCCGAGGGAAGGAAGAAGGAAGUGGAUAAGGCGAUGGCAUUGUAAAAGACUAGUUCUUCAUUGUUCACCCUCUGAACUACUAGUACCUCCAACCUAGCCUAACCCUGAAAUGGAGCUGUAUGGGGCAAACAUUACUCAGUCUGAGCUAGGCCUCCUACAGAAUACUUUACCAAGAGGUGCUUCCUUCCACUGUCCACCUUGCCAUGAGCAUUUCUCUUCUACUACCCUAUAUAUAAUAAUAACUUCAUGGUGCAGUUUGCCUUGUGUUAUGGCAGCUAUCAAAUCCAGUUCCUUUGCUUGGAAGAAAAUACAGUUUUUAUUCAUAUCUAGCUUUAUUAGAAAAUGUGUCAAGCAUAGCAAAAAGUGAAGAAAGUAUAUAAUAAAUCUCCAAGUAUUUAUCAUCUGUAAUAAUGUUUCACCAUUUUUAUUCCAUGUAUUUUCCCCGUUCUCAAUGAACUAAUGUACCCGCUGAUUCAGUAAGGACAGUUUUCAUUAUUGAACACAGCAUGGCACUUGGCACAUCUCAAAAAAGUUUUGAUUUGUGGGAUGGAUAGUAGGUGGUUGGCUGGGUAAAUGGACUUAGGUCAUCACAAGUAAUUCUUUACAGGUACUAUAUUAUGCCGCUCAAUCUGAUGUCCAUAGUUUGGUGAGAGACAUGUCCAAAGUUUUUCUCAGGGAUAACUGUCUUACUCGGUUCUAUUUUUGACCACGGCCACUUUUACACUUUUAUUAAAAACAACAACAACAACAAAAACAAAAACAUUUAAUUGGGGCUACCUUACAUUCAGAGAAUCCAUUAUUGUCAUGGCAGGAAGCAUAGCAGCAAACAGCAGACAUGGUGCUGGAGAUGUAGCUUAGAAUUCUACAACCUGUCUUGGAGGCAGCAGAAAAGAUGGACACUCGGCCUGGAUUGAGAAGUUGAAAUCCCAAAGCCCACCGCCCUCAGGAACACACAUCCUCCAACAAAGCCACACCUACUCCAGCAAGGCCCCACCUACUCCAACGAGGCCACGCCUACUCCAAGCCCUUGCUUCCUUAUCUCUCUCCAGGAGCAGUCAUUCCCUAAUGACUAAGAGUUCAAAUAUUUGAGCCCAGGGGGCAGGGGAGGGGGAGGGCAUUCCUAUUCCAACCACCACAAUAAACAAGGCGAAAUAACCCAGGGAAACAUUUUUGCACAAGUCUUCUUUGCCUGUGUAAAGGCAAAUGUCUAUGCAGACAUUUCGUAGCCAAUCUUCUCUCCUUGCCAAUCAUGGAUAUGCUGUGCAAGCCACGGGCCACCUUAAAAAGUUCUCCAGGUUCUUACAAGUUACAAAGGACGAAUAAAAAAGGUGUUCAAUGGUCCUCUCCAGGUUCUUUGUGUGAAGAUGAAGAUGAAGAAUAACAUUUUUCAGACCAGUUCUCAAGAAUGGGGGGGGGGAUAAUUAGAGCAGAUCCAUUGUGAGCUCUUCCUACCAUUCCUGCCCUGGGGCUGCUGGUUCAGGGCCAUUGAAGGAAAGCAGUAAAGCCAGAGUCAGACCUAAUCCCUCCCAAACCUUUGCCUAUUAUCAUCGUCAAUGCUCUGCGUGCAUUGAUUAUCAUUAUGUAGUACAUGUAAAAGAGCAUCAGAAGAAAACGUAUAAAAGAAGAAACUCCUAACCGUGUACUGUGCGAUAGCAGUAUGCCCUCCCCUCAAGUGUAAAGGAACAAUUCUCAUCGCCGUGCCUGUAGGUGCAGGAAUUAAAGUGGCAGAUUUUCUCAUGGGAUUGAUGCUUGUCCAGCUAUAUACAAUACGGUGUUUUGUUACCAGCUUGUCUGCAGGCAAUCUUGCUUACUUUGAAUUUUUCUUAUAUCCCAAUUACACUUAAAUGCAUACAUCUGGAUCAUAAAAGAAAUUUUCAUGCUUUUCAUUUAGUCAAAAAAUGAAAGAAAGGAAGAAAGGAAAAAACUGGAGUGGCUGGAGAGAUGAUUAAGAGCAUGCACUGUGCUUCCAGAGGACCAGCACACAAACUCUAGUUCCAGGGAGAUGGAAUAACUCUGGCUCCUGCACUAUAAAUUUUAUAUAUAUAAUUAACAGAGAAGAUCUAGAGCUGUAAAACAGUUACCUAGCACGCUCAAAGCCUUUGUUUGCUUUGGAGUUCAGUUGAUUCAUAUAAUGGGGAAACCAGCCAAAUAAACUAAAAAAAAAAAAAAAAAAAAAAAAAACAAAAAACUCACCAGUGGGUAAUUUAGAAUGACACAGACACACAGAGAGGUUGUUAAAUUUUAACAAAGGUAUUAAUUUUGAGAUGUUUCAUUCAAAUUAAGUUUUAAUAAUUUUGUGCUUUCAGAAAUGAAAGGAUAUCAUUAUUAUGACUCAAGCAACAGUGAGGAGUAGAAUUCUAUUGCUAGCUCAGUACAUGGUUUCAAUUUUCCUAGUAGCCAUAUUUUAAAAAGAUGAAAUUAAUUUCAUCCCUAAUCUGGCCCAGUGUAGCUAAAAAUAUU